ACCACCCAGAAUGUGUUAUGUGCUUAUUCCUUUGACAUGAAAUUUACCUUCAUGUAUGCUGGAUGGGAAAGGUCAGCCAACGAUUGUCGGGUGCUCUCGGCCGCACUCGGAGAUCCUCAACAGAAUUUUCCUCGACCACUACUAGGCAAAUAUUACGUGGUAGAUAAUGGUUAUGCAGCACUUUCAGGAUUUUUAACGCCGUUUAAAGGUGAACGGCAUCAUUUGAAUGAUUAUAGAGGUAGAGGAAGACGGGCUAGAACAACAAGAGAAAUGUUCAACCAUAAGCACUCUUCACUUCGGAAUGUAAUUGAGAGAGAAUUUGGGGCAUUGAAGAAACGAUUCUUUAUAUUGCAACACAUGUCUUCCUUUCCAAUUCAGAAGCAAGCGCUCAUUGUGAUUGCAUGUUGCGCUCUUCACAAUUAUAUUCGCAAUCAAGAUAGGAUGGAUAGAAACUUUUCCAUUUAUGGUGAUCCCGACUACGCAUAUGUAUCUAC